AUUGACCAUCGGUCGGCCGAGAAGGGCAGGGCGGUCAGUGACUGUUUACAUUCUUUAUGGGCCUGUGUUUACCUGACAAUGACAGGUCCAUGAAGGCCCAGUUGGGUGUACAAAAUCUCCAUCAAACUCCCUCUUUAAAAGCUACCGUCCUUGCCCACUUUUCCCUUACAUCACGUUCACUUUCUUCUCUUCUCUGCUUAUUAUUAAUCUCUCUUUUCUCUCUCCCACACAACCCUGGAGAGAGAUAAAAGAGUCUGAGUUUCAACACAAGAACACUUUCCCAGAUGGAGCCAAGGCACAGGUUUCUUCAAGGUAAAUUUGAAGCAGAAGCAGAAGCUGAAGCUGAAGACUCCAUGGAAGAUGAGGCAAUUACCGCUGCUUCAUCUUCAUCUUAAUUUGGUGCUAUCCUACCUGAGCUUUUUCAACUACUCUUUUCUUCUUCAUUUUUCACUUUGUUUUUAAUUUCUUUCUUUUCUUAUUUUCUUUCUGGUUCUAGUCUUCUUGACCUUGUAAGACCUUUUCUUGACCUUGUAAGACCCCAUUUUGCGUAUUUUCUUUCUUAUUUUUGUUUUCAAACAAACUCUUUAUCGGAAUUUUCUGAUAUAGAGUUUGAUCUCCAUUUCUCCCCGUUUCCGCCCAACUCAUCUUCUCCUUCCUUGUCUAUCCCUCCUGAGCUGCUCGAUCUUUCUUCUUAAUUAUAAUGAUUUCUUCAAUUAGACACCAUAUUUGCCAUGUGGGGUUUCAGUUUUUAUCGCAUAAAAGUGAUGUUAUAUGCACUUAGAAUUAGUUCCAAUAAAGUGUCACAUGAUUUGGAGAGAUAUUGUAUCGUGAAAUUGAGAUAAAGAGUUGUGUAGAAUAAAAAAUAAAGUCUUUGUGUCUGUGUGUAUAGUUUGUUUUGUUAUUUAUUUGACAGUGAAAAAUCGCUUUCUUAUUCUGUUAAGAUCAUCAAUUUCAAUUGUAAGUAUGUGAGGGGUGCAGAAAUAUGCUGUUGCAGGCUUCAGUUUCGUUGUUUUAUAUGUUGUUUUCUGAGAAAAAUAAGCAGAAGAAUAAAUAUUCUUUCAGAUC